rnacentral:misc_RNA from 1 species
CUGAGUUUACAACUCCCAAACCCCUGUGAACCUCUACCAUCGUUGCUUCGGCGGGAUCGCCCCGGGCGCGCCCCGGGUACAGGCGCCCGCCGGAGGACCCAGACUCCUGUUUUUACCAGUGGUAUCUUCUGAGUAUUUUACAAAUGAAUCA